GCCAGACUCCUACGGGAGGCAGCAGUGAGGAAUAUUGGUCAAUGGCCGUAAGGCUGAACCAGCCAAGUAGCGUGAGGGAAGACUGCCCUAUGGGUUGUAAACCUCUUUUAUGCGGGGAUAAAGGUGUCCACGUGUGGAUGUUUGCAGGUACCGCAUGAAUAAGGACCGGCUAACUCCGUGCCAGCAGCCGCGGUAAUACGGAGGAUGCGAGCGUUAUCCGGAUUUAUUGGGUUUAAAGGGUGCGCAGGCGGAUUUUUAAGUCAGCGGUCAAAUCGUGGGGCUCAACCCCAUCCAGCCGUUGAAACUGGGGAUCUAGAGUGUGCGAGAGGUAUGCGGAAUGCGUGGUGUAGCGGUGAAAUGCAUAGAUAUCACGCAGAACCCCGAUUGCGAAGGCAGCAUACCGGCGGCGAUCUGACGCUGAGGCACGAAAGCGUGGGUAUCGAACAGGAUUAGAUACCCGGGUAUGA
rnacentral:rRNA from 1 species